rnacentral:rRNA from 1 species
CCCCUAGAUGUUCUGGGCCGCACGCGCGCUACACUGAACAGUUCAACAAGUCUUAACCUUGGCCGAUAGGUCUGGGUAAUCUUUGAACGCUGUUCGUGAUUGGGAUAGACCUUUGCAAUUAUGGGUCUUCAACGAGGAAUUCCUAGUAAACGCAAGUCAUCAGCUUGCAUUGAUUACGUCCCUGCCCUUUGUACACACCGCCCGUCGCACCUACCGAUUGAAUGGUCCGGUGAAAUCUCCGGAUUGGCGCGCACCUCGGUGCCGCCGAGAAGUUGGCUAAACCUUACCAUUUAGAGGAAGGUGAAGUCGUANCA